rnacentral:rRNA from 1 species
GCACAAGCGGUGGAGCAUGUGGUUUAAUUCGAAGCAACGCGAAGAACCUUACCAAAUCUUGACAUCCUCUGACUCCUCUAGAGAUAGAGUUUUCCCCUUCGGGGGACAGAGUGACAGGUGGUGCAUGGUUGUCGUCAGCUCGUGUCGUGAGAUGUUGGGUUAAGUCCCGCAACGAGCGCAACCCUUAAGCUUAGUUGCCAUCAUUAAGUUGGGCACUCUAAGUUGACUGCCGGUGACAAACCGGAGGAAGGUGGGGAUGACGUCAAAUCAUCAUGCCCCUUAUGAUUUGGGCUACACACGUGCUACAAUGGACAAUACAAAGGGCAGCGAAACCGCGAGGUCAAGCAAAUCCCAUAAAGUUGUUCUCAGUUCGGAUUGUAGUCUGCAACUCGACUAUAUGAAGCUGGAAUCGCUAGUAAUCGUAGAUCAGCAUGCUACGGUGAUACGUUCCCGGGC